ACAACAGUUGUUAUAACACGCAU
rnacentral:miRNA from 10 species